CCUCCACACUGUUUUCCAGAGCAGCUGCACCAGUUUGCAUUCCCACCAGCAGUGCAAGAGGGUUGCCCUUUAAAAGAACCUCUCUAAGACGGAUUCCAGAAAAGCGAACCACGGACUCAGCUGGGCUGCUGUAACAAAAUUCCACAGACGGGGCGGCUUAAACAACGGACUUGUUUCCAGUCCUGGAGGCUGGAGGUCUGAGACCCAGGGGCCAGCACCCAUCUCUGGUGAGAGCUCCCCUCCUGGCUUGGGGACGGCUGUCUCUCGCCGUGUGCUGAGUGCCUGUCCUCAGUGUGUGCACGGAGAGGGAGCGAGUGCUCCGGUGUCUCCUCUCAGAAGGACUCUAAUCCUAUGACGUCAGGGCUCCACUCUUAAGGCCUCAUUUAACCUUAAUUACUAUAUUAGAGGCCCCACCUCCAAAUACAGCCACAAGGGGAGAUAGGGCUCCAGCAUAUGAAUUUGGGGGUGGGGCGGACACAAUAACACACACACACACACACACACACACGUGCACAGCCCAAGCUCUGUGUAAGCCAAGAGACCAUUAAGAUGUAUGGCUGUGUCUUACACCUGUUGGGGCACAGCGUAAAAAGAAAAUUUAACAAGCGCUCAGCACUAAAGCCCCCAAUGGGGUCACUGGCAGCUGGCGGUGGAGGGCGAUCCCAGCGCACGGGUGUCCUCUUGCCUAGGACGACGGGGGCGGGCUGGCCGGCCACACUGCCGCGCGGACGGUGGCGGCUCCCAGACGCGGGCAGCAAGCAGGGCUGUUGCGGGGCGAGCGGCCGCUGGCGGGACAGACACACAUGAAUCACUGUGAACCCCCGGCGGGGUCAAGUGGAAUGACAAAAUCGGGGAAAAACAGGAACCAGCGGAGGAUGGUCGCGGUGCAAUAGAACGAGAGGAGACACUCAAAACGCCUCAGUGAUCAGGACACGUGUGAAUCGGGGUUUUCAUACUGGGAUAAAAAACCCGACUCGUUCUUUCUCGUGGCGCCUCGGACGCGGUGGGCUGCUUCAGGAUGAUGCGGGACGUCUUCCCAGCUACUGGCUGCCGGAAACUCUUUGAACGGAAACCUCGUACCUUUUCUGAGAAGCGAAUGGCCACAGACGCUGGGUGGACUUGGGGGAGAAUGGAGGGGUGACGUGGUCUGGGUCACAGGUGGCCGUGACGGACAAGGCCUCCCCGUGAAGGGGGGGUGUCUUGACCCACGGCCGCGUCCGCCUGCUGCUGAGCAGGGGGAUUCCCGCUACCGACCCGGGAGGAGGGGGGGAGAAAGCGCGACUCUGCUCGGGGUGCGUCGCGGAUGCCAAUCUCAGUGCUCUCCACUUGGUCCUUGUGGGACAGGGGAGAAGGAUAUUGCUGGCCUCACCGACCCACGGACUCCGAACUAGCGGGAUCCGCGAGCUUUUCGGUCUCUCGAAGGAAGAGGCCGUCCGCCAGCACGUUGUGAGAAUGCCCCUAAACAGAGAGGGUGAGAAACCUCGGGCCAAAGCGCCCAGGGUCUUGUUCCUCCGCGUGUCCUCCAGCAGGGACGUCGGCACACUGCUCGGAAGGAUCAGGACGCUAAGAAGACUAAGCAGGAGCUGCGGACAAAACAGAUCAACCGGGAGACACUCGGGUGGGAGAAUGGUCAGUCUGAUGGUGCAUAAAGUGUGCAAGAAAUACCUUCAAGUUGAGAGGCCAGGCCACGCUGUGACGGUGGUAGAGACGGGCAGGGAGGGCUUCUUCCACGGGGGGUGGGUAGCUCAGGAAAGGAUUCUGAGCAGAACGUAUCUACUGUGCUUUCUGGGAGGCAUGGAGCAGCUUGGAAAUAAAGGACUCGGACUGUUAAAAAAAAAGUAAUAACCCGACUCAUUUCUAUUGUUUUCUACGUAUUUGUCUGUAUCACCUGAGACAGAGAGACUCAGAAGAGCUGGCAGAGUGGAGAAGUCGUCUGGGCAAACGCUCUCAGAGAGAAUGGUUAGGGAGACAGCGCUAAGCCGACCGCCAACCCCGGCCUGGGCCUUCUCGAAGGAGCACACACGGGUCCUGGGUUAGAGAAAGGCAUCCAUCUACGGAGAAGGCAUCGCUGUCAGGAGACGUUACCCACCCAACACCCUCGCUUUUUAAAUAUGUAAAGCAAACUUGAUAGAAAUUCAAGGGGAAAGUGGCAAAUUCACAGUAAUAUUUGAGGUACUUCCUCAGAAAUCAAGAAAUCAAAGAGGAAGAGGGAAAUAGGGCAGAAUGUGAAUAACACAAUGAAGACC